UACGUAGGGUGCGAGCGUUGUCCGGAAUUAUUGGGCGUAAAGAGCUCGUAGGCGGUGUGUCGCGUCGGCCGUGAAAACCUGGGGCUCAACUCUGGGCGUGCGGUCGAUACGGGCAUCACUUGAGUUCGGCAGGGGAGACUGGAAUUCCUGGUGUAGCGGUGAAAUGCGCAGAUAUCAGGAGGAACACCGGUGGCGAAGGCGGGUCUCUGGGCCGAUACUGACGCUGACAGCGCGAAAGCUAGGGGAGCGAACGGG
rnacentral:rRNA from 1 species